UAGAUGAAUAAUACUGCAGCCAGCCCCAUGUCUACUGCCACCUCAAGUAGUGGAAGAAGUACAGGGAAAUCUACAAGCUUUGCCUCAGAACUGCAGAGUAUGAUGAUUCUGUGCAUAUAAUUCCCAGGGGAAAAAACAAUUGCUGAAUCUUAGAAGUGGUUUCUUGAAAUUCAGGAAGAUGGAGUCAUUUUAGUAAUUCUGUCAUGAAAAAUAGGAUAUUGGACGGAUUUAGAUUUCUGUCAACAGUUAUGAGAGCAUCCCCCUCCAUCUCUCUCUGAUGUUUAAUGGUAGAAACAUCGUGUUGUGUUACAGCUUUGCUUUGACAACUGAGUUUGAAAAUAUUUAUGUUUCUUUAUUGGUGAUGUUCACAGGGAAAUCUACAGAUAGGGGCUCUCUACUGGAAGUUGGAAUCUAAGGCAGUGCUCCUGUGGACAUGAAUGGAAAAAAAGCUCAGAUAGAAUGAAAAGAACAAAGCAGUGCACAAAUGGGCAACUGAAGGCAUGUCCUUUUUAAGGGUAGAGAGCAAGAAUACAGGUAAGGGGACAUUUAGGCUGAGUAAAUGAGGGAGUUCUGAACAGUGUAAGAAGUAAAAGGUAAAAGUUCUGCUUAAAGCAGUCUGAGAAAUCCCUUCAGAGGAGAUAAACAUCUAGGAGACUUGUAUUAGUCUGACUCUGAUACUGCUGAAUAUAGCAGAUGUUCUUUUCUUUGUCAU